GGGCCGGUAGAUUAGCCUGGUAGAUCGUCUGGUUUGCAUCCAGAAGGUCUCGUGUUCAAAUCACGACCGGUCCACCA
rnacentral:tRNA from 1 species